rnacentral:rRNA from 1 species
UACGGAGGAUCCAAGCGUUAUCCGGAUUUAUUGGGUUUAAAGGGAGCGUAGGCGGCCUUUUAAGUCAGGGGUGAAAGACGGUGGCUCAACCAUCGCAGUGCCCUUGAUACUGAAGGGCUUGAAUGUAGCUGAGGUAGGCGGAAUGUGACAAGUAGCGGUGAAAUGCAUAGAUAUGUCACAGAACACCGAUUGCGAAGGCAGCUUACCAAACUAUGAUUGACGCUGAGGCUCGAAAGCGUGGGGAUCGAACAGG